rnacentral:rRNA from 1 species
UACGUAGGGGGCAAGCGUUGUCCGGAUUUAUUGGGCGUAAAGGGCGCGUAGGCGGCUUGGUAAGUCGGGGGUGAAAGUCAGCGGCUCAACCGCUGGACUGCCUUCGAGACUGCCUGGCUUGAGCAUGGUAGAGGCUGGCGGAAUUCCCGGUGUAGCGGUGGAAUGCGUAGAGAUCGGGAAGAACAUCGGUGGCGAAGGCGGCCAGCUGGGCCAUUGCUGACGCUGAGGCGCGACAGCGUGGGGAGCAAACAGG